AGCACCAACACACAACUGGAAGCAGACUAAGACAGUAAAGGGAAGAGGACAAAGUAACAGUAAACAGGGCCCUGGAAGCCAAGAGAAGCAAAUGCACCUGGCAAUCAUCACAAGACAAGCCGCGGCAGCAGGAGUUGAGAUAUUCCCACAGCACUGAGCAACCUGAAGAUCAUCAGUGACCUGAAUGAAGAGACUGAUUCUUAGAGAAGUACUUUACCUCUGAUCACAAAGUUAUUAAUUGAGAAAGCUGAAGUUCAAACCAGUAUUCUCAGAGCUGAGGACUCACCUGUGACCCACCCAGUCCCACCUACUUCAGGAAGAAGGGAGAGGACCCUUGUUCUGUGUUCAGGAGGUGGGGAAUUUCACUGGGUCAUGGAAUCCAAAAGUCACUGAAGCCACUCCUUGAACAGAAGAGGAAGCUGAUAUCCUGAGAAGUGAAAGACCUUGGUCCAGGUCAUGUGGCUAGUUUGUAACUAAUCUAGAAUCCUAACCUGGGGUGCCUAUUUCCAAAUACAGGGUGUGUUCACUACCUCUUUCACCUCAAACACUAUUUCACCUCAAAUACUAUUUCAGGUGCAGAAAAACAUUCAUGCCUUUACUCUAAAAUUGUUUUCUCAACUUGUUCUUCAGAGUCAACAUCCUCUGAGCUCAGAGACUGGCUAAAGAUUUCCUCCUAUGACCCAUAUAUUACCUGAAUCAUGUCCCUCUGUGUGCGGAGGACCAAAGCAUCACAUCCAAACACAGGACAGGAUCCCCUGCCCCAGCACACAGGCACAAGAUUCCCUGAAGUGGAGGGAACGUAUCUGCAGGGCAGAGAGGCAUCCUGACCCACCUGGACUACGUAUUCCCCUUCUGAAGACCCUGAAAACAGAGGGAAGGAGAGUAAGACUGAGUGAGGUUGAUAUAUUUCAAGAAGACAGCGAGCACAGAGGAGAACACUGCUGGUGUCCCCUUUGAAGGAUGAUUCACUGUGCCAAUGACUGAGCAGCCUCAGAAUCACCAGGAAGCCUGGUAAAAACUUGAAUCAGGGGACUCCACCACUGCAAUUCCUGGCACAGUAGGUUUGGGGUGGAGUCUGAGAAUGUGUAUUUCUAAGAGUUUCCAGGUGUCAUGGGUCCUGGACCCUCCCUUUCAGAACCACCACAUUGAGAACUAGGAGAGAAUUGUGGACCAGUUCUGUGAACAUGAGAGGACCCAGCUGUUGGAAUGAGAAAAUCUCCUUGUCAGUCAGGAACCACUUAUUCAUCAACCGAGGAUGACUAUCUGAACAUAAAUCUCUCUUUCUCUCUCUCUUUUUUUCAAAAGGACCAGGAACACAGUGAAUAAAUA